UGAUGAGAAGGGGGAAGAUGCCAUAAGGAGCAUUUGUGAGGAGUUCAAGGUGAAAAUGUUGAGUCCUGCAGAAGUUGCAUUCCUUAGGGAGUACUGUACCACCAUGAAGCCACUGGUGAAAGCUUCAAACAUCCUUCAGUCUGAGUCCACUUCCUUUAUGGGAUGGCUCCUGCCAGUAAUCCAACAACUACUGUCCAAACUUAGCAGGCUGGAGACAUCAAGCAAGACAUGCAUGCCACUCAUCAGAGCCCUGCAAAAUGGCCUUCAAAAGCGUUUUGGAUCGAUGAUGGAGGAUCCAGAAUUGGCUGCAGCUGCAGUCCUCUUACCCAAGUUCAAGACUUCCUGGACUGACAGAGCAGAUGUAAUAGAGGCUGCCUUGACAUACAUCAAACAACAUCUUGAAAUGACAGAGCAUGAGAGUGUGGAUCAGCA